rnacentral:rRNA from 1 species
GACGAACGCUGGCGGCGUGCUUAACACAUGCAAGUCGAACGGAAAGGCCCUGCUUUUGUGGGGUGCUCGAGUGGCGAACGGGUGAGUAACACGUGAGUAACCUGCCCUUGACUUUGGGAUAACUUCAGGAAACUGGGGCUAAUACCGGAUAGGAUCUCCUGCUUCAUUGUGGGGGUGGGAAAGUUUCGGCGGUUGGGGAUGUACUCGCGGCUUAUCAGCUUGUUGGUGGGGUAGUGGCGUACCAAGGCUUUGACGGGUAGCCGGCCUGAGAGGGUGACCGGCCACAUUGGGACUGAGAUACGGCCCAGACUCCUACGGGAGGCAGCAGUGGGGAAUAUUGCACAAUGGGCGGAAGCCUGAUGCAGCAACGCCGCGUGCGGGAUGACGGCCUUCGGGUUGUAAACCGCUUUCGCCUGUGACGAAGCGUGAGUGACGGUAAUGGGUAAAGAAGCACCGGCUAACUACGUG